rnacentral:rRNA from 1 species
CGUUAGCGGCGGACGGGUGAGUAACACGUGGGUAACCUACCUAUAAGACUGGGAUAACUUCGGGAAACCGGAGCUAAUACCGGAUAAUAUUUCGAACCGCAUGGUUCGAUAGUGAAAGGUGGUUUUGCUAUCACUUAUAGAUGGACCUGCGCCGUAUUAGCUAGUUGGUAAGGUAACGGCUUACCAAGGCGACGAUACGUAGCCGACCUGAGAGGGUGAUCGGCCACACUGGAACUGAGACACGGUCCAGACUCCUACGGGAGGCAGCAGCU